rnacentral:lncRNA from 1 species
ACGAGAAUAGAUAGGUCUUAGAGCCAUUUGCCUGAGGAAAUAGUGUUCUUGAUAGCUGGAUAAAUAAUGUUCAGAGUUUCUUUCUGAUCCAUUUACUGUAAUAUCAACCAAAGAAACCAAAGAUACAUUAACAGUGUUUAUUGAAAACAAUGCUUAUCCUGUAUCCUUGUGAAGAAAGUCAUGACAUAACAUUGCACACAUAUGAC